CCCCCGGUGGCAAUGGAAAUUGGUACACCUACCGGCUUUAGAAGCCGGGCUUUUGCGAGUUCGAGUCUCGCCUGGGGGACCA
rnacentral:tRNA from 1 species